rnacentral:tRNA from 1 species
AAAAAAAUAAGCUAAUUAAGCUACUGGGUUCAUACCCCAUUUAUGAAAGUUCUAAUCUUUCUUUUUUUA